rnacentral:lncRNA from 1 species
AAAUUAUAAAGCCAAAAACCAAACCAUGCCCUUCCUGUCAGGCUCCAAGCACCUGCAACAGGAAGACAUGCAGUGGAUGCCUGGGCAGCCUGAACGUAAAGGAGGGAUUGAAAAAAAAAAAACAAGAACAGCAACUGGGCUGCCUCUGUUAAAAAAAAACAGAAAUGCGAGCAGGGUGGUCAAUUCAGCCCAGUUAUCAGUAAGGUUUCAAAACUACAUGCCCUGCCAAUUCUGUUUCUUGGACAGUUUGACCGAAAGGGCCGUAUAGUAGGGGACGUGAUCACAUAGAGCCAGCGGAUGGUGCUGCACGUGACAUCCUCAUGAAGAUGAGGAAACUUUAUGAACACCUUCUGAGAAAAUUACAAGCUUCACCUCCUGCUAAAAAUUCUACACCAGCAGCUGGACCAUCCUCUGCUGACAGUGUCGAUGCUGGACCAGUCCCAGACCCAGAGGCUCUAAACGAGGAAUUUAUUCUUCAUUUAGAGCCUGAACCAACAUCUUCCCUCUGUCAGCCUCCUGUAUCCUCCUCUUCAUCUCUGCUUCCUCCUGCAUCCUCCUCUUCAUCUCCGCUUCCUGCAUUUCCCUCAAUUUCUACGGCGUACACCUCGGAUGUCCCAAACAAAAAAAGGACAAGGAAAGAAUGCCAAAAACACCGUACACAGAAGAUUUUCAAAUAUGAAGAGAUAGUAGACAGGAGAGUUGUAAAUGAAAAAGAAGUUAAAGUCAAGUGGAAGCCCUGCUCGAUAUGGUAUGUAGUAACAACUUUGUUGGACCGGAACAGACAUUUAUAUUGUUGA